rnacentral:rRNA from 1 species
UUUGAAAUCUCCGACGCUUGCGUCGGCGAAUUGUAGUUGCGAGAAGCACUUUCUAGGCGGAUCGGUCGUGCCUAAGUUGCUUGGAACAGUACGUCAUAGAGGGUGACAACCCCGUCUGUGGCUCGGCCGGCCGCUCACGAUGUGCUUUCGAAGAGUCGGGUUGUUUGGGAAUGCAGCCCAAAAAUGGUGGUAAACUCCAUCUAAAGCUAAAUACUGACGUGAGACCGAUAGCGAACAAGUACCGUGAGGGAAAGAUGAAAAGAACUUUGAAAAGAGAGUUAAAAAGUACGUGAAACCGUUUGAAGGGAAACGAAUGGACUCAGCAAUGCGCCCUUUGAGAUUCAGCCGGGCGGUUGUGGCGGUCCGGGGCUUGCGGAUCUGAAUGGACCGCGGUCUGGGGCCCGUCGCUUCCGACCGUCGCACUUCUCUUGGACGCGAGUCAACGUCGGUUGGGACUGGGCCUCAAAGGUUCCGGGAAGGUAGGUCCGGACGCUUGCGUUCGGACUGUUACAGCCCGGUUCUCUCGCGGCUCGGGCCCGACCGAGGCGGAUGCAGCACAUGCCUCUUGUGGCUAGGGUCCCGUCCUUCCGGCCGGUUGUCGAAUGCGGUGGACUGCUUGCAGUGCUCUGCGACUGCUGCCGGUCGUUGGGGUGGUGAUCUCGUACCAUG